UACGUAGGGGGCAAGCGUUGUCCGGAAUCAUUGGGCGUAAAGAGCGCGUAGGCGGCCCUGUAAGUCGGCUGUGAAAGUCAAGGGCUCAACCCUUGAAUGGCGGUGGAUACUGCAGGGCUAGAGUCCGGAAGAGGCGAGUGGAAUUCCUGGUGUAGCGGUGAAAUGCGCAGAUAUCAGGAGGAACACCGAUGGCGAAGGCAGCUCGCUGGGACGGUACUGACGCUGAGGUGCGAAAGCGUGGGGAGCAAACAGG
rnacentral:rRNA from 1 species